AUUGAACGCUAGCGGGAUGCUUUACACAUGCAAGUCACACGAGUGGCGGACGGGUGAGUAAUAUCUCGGAACGUGCCCAGUAGCGGGGGAUAACUACUCGAAAGAGUGGCUAAUAACGCAUACUGUUGGAGCGGCCGAUAUCGGAUUAGCUAGUUGGUGGGGUAAAGGCUCACCAAGCAAAAGCUCCGUAGCUGGUUUGAGAGGACGACCAGCCACACUGGGACUGAGACACGGCCCAUACUCCUACGGGAGGCAGCAGUGGGGAAUGUUGGAAAAUGGGGUAAACCCUGACCCAGCCAUUCCGCGUGAAUGAGAAGGCCUGCGGGUUGUAAAGUACUUUUGGCAGAGAAGCGGUAUCUGCAGAAUAAGCACCGGCUAACUACGUGCCAGCAGCCGCGGUAAUAC
rnacentral:rRNA from 1 species